CCCUUAGAUGUCCUGGGCCGCACGCGCGCUACGCUGACAUGUUCAACAAGUUUCUCCUAGUUCGACAGGACUGGGAAAUCUUUGAACGCAUGUCGUGAUAGGGAUAGAUCAUUGCAAUUAUUGAUCUUGAACGAGGAAUUCCUAGUAAACGCGAGUCAUCAGCUCGCAUUGAUUACGUCCCUGCCCUUUGUACACACCGCCCGUCGCACCUACCGAUUGAAUGUUUCGGUGAAGAUUCCGGAUAGGACUGAUUUGAUUUAUUUCAUUUCUGACCUAAAAGCUAUCUAAACCUCAACAUUUAGAGGAAGGUGAAGUCGUAACA
rnacentral:rRNA from 1 species